GGGAGGUAACCUGGCCCUUACGCAAUCACAGGUGGCCUUGGUGAGACUUAACGACUUAUUUUACUUAAUACUCACCUUGUUUUCUCUGCCACUCACACUGCUCCUCGUCACAAGGGACAAGAUGAGCCUGGGGGUGAAGCCCUGGGCUGCUACUCGUGCCCCUAGGUAUGACCACCCCAGAGGGACUGGAGGCCACGUUCCCCAUCCCGCAGUGGCAACCCAAUACUGAGCAGCAGGAGCGCAGCCAGCUCCCUUUUGGGUUUUGUCCCACACUGCUGCUGGCAAAACACGCCAGUCGAAGACAAGAGCGGGCUAUUUGCAAACUGCAGCGAGGCCCAGCUGAAGCUUGAAGCAUGGCACUCACUGUUGCAGCCGGCUCAGGAGGUAUUCAAAUUUACCGGAGGGAAAACUAUGAAGAAAAGGGUUUUCUACUCAGAAACAAGGAAAACGUGGUUUGGAGACAGACAAUAGCAACUUUUGCUCUCGAGCUGAAGCACAACGGCCACGCUUCUCCGAAAGAAAGAGGCAUGAAAGCAGGGGCCAUGCUCAGAUGCUAAGUACCCGUGAUCUUCCUGGGAAAAAAACUUCAGUUUCUGCUAGGGAGAGAGAGAAUACAUGCAGCCACUUCAUUUCAAUACUUGCAAGACCUGGUCCUGAAAGAACCUGACACGCAACAAUCUGUUGUUUAUGUAUUGACCGAGAAAUAUUGGUUUUCCUUCAUCAACAUCCCCUGGGAAGGAGGCAGGAGCUGCUGGUGUGAACUGCGUGGACCUGCAGAGCUACAGCUGUGACCUAGGUGUUAGGUGGUGUUUUUUUUUUUCCUCCUAUUUGCAGCCUGUAGGCAAAGCUAGGAUAGAAACAGGAAAAAAAUAAUCCUGUCCCCUGGCUGGGCUGGCUUUUAGCAACCAAAACGAGUGUAAAUGCUGGAAGCACCUCAUAGGAUUGCUCCGUGCCCGGCUCUGUACAUCAGUUUACAACAUCCUGCCUUCCUGCACAAACAACUGGCCCAGCUCCCCCACCCUCAGCCCUGUUCAGCUUUCUCCAUGAGGACGUUGGGCAGGAGAGGGAAAGAAAUGUCCUUUCCAUACCGUCACCAGGCAGAGCCCUGCUGACACCACCCAGUGCUGGGAAGGCGAUGCAGGAGGAGGAGGAGGUCAGUUCUCAACACAAAGCUGGAAAGCAGCUUUUGGGACAAAGCAAGCACCAGCUGGUCAGAGCAAUCCCCCAGCCAGGGGCCCUGUUCUCACCUGGAUUCAUAGUGGUGAGCCAGGAAACCAGAAGAGGGUUGGAUUUCUGCCUGGAGGAUGGUUCUGAUCGGAGACUGAAAGGGUGUUUCAGAGUUCAGCGAGCGAAAAGUGCUGAAGUCGUGGGUUCCCAGCAGGAACCGUGCUGCAUCCUGCAUGGCAGGCACAUCCAGGUAGCUGAAAUUAAACAUGCAGAGCAAAGAGAGAGGAGCGUUAAGUGGGACCAAGUACGUUGUGUGCGUCAAAGUCUAAUUAAUUGAUGAGAGGCUCAAACCUAGCAUGCAGAUUUAACGUUGCAGAACUGAGGAAAGACAUUUUGCAAGAGGAGUUUCUCCAGGAACAGCCCAAACCACAAAGCAAGAUGCCAAAUGACUGGAGGUCUGAUGGUGUUCAAAAAAACCCCAGGCUAGGUCAGGGGCUGGCAGGCACAGACUUCUUCACAAACCUUUAUCCUGCUGUGCUGCAGGAUCUUAACUUAAUUCAAUAACAACUGAAUUAAAAAUAGCUCUGUCCAAGCUGUUGGCUAAAGUGGAGGACAAGAGAACCAAAAUCCUUUGCAGUAUCUUACAAAUUCAAAAAGAAGGUGGCAGGUAAGAGAGUGUCUAACACUGUGAUGGUUUUCCAAACCUUUGAAAAGAUGAAAUUAGGAAAUAACAGGAACGGAAUGGGUGUGCAAACUGGACAUGAAUGAAACCAGAAUGUUGUGAAAAAGUCCAGUUUUCUUGAACUUUUAUUUGUCUCAGUACAACCUCAUCUAAAAGACAAUUACUAAUUUUCUUCUGGGGUUUGUUUGUUAUUUCCUUGCCCGCUGUUUAUCGUGUCCUAAGUGUUUUUAAAUGGCACUGAACUUGUUUUUCUUCCCUUCCAUAUACAAGCCCUAAUUUGUUAUGACUCAGUGGCUACUCCACGAGUGCUGAGCCAGACACACCGGUUUGUUAUCGUAGGGCUGCUCAGAGUCAUGGGCUCUCACUUACUAUUCAAACAUACAAGCACCCAGAUUGGGAAGGAGAAAGCUGGCCUACAUGCAGCCAUCACCAGGAGCAGGCCAAGAAUUAGAAAAAAAAACACAAAAAGAGCUCUGAGUCCCAGGUCUCACCACACAUAAUUCAGUGCAGUUCCACUGAUUUCAACAGAGAAUCCUUUCCAGUGUGACCUGGGGGUCUGGUCUUACACGUGGACAUCACCUCCUCCCCAAAUGCUGGGGUAGCUGCUUGGGGAGGGUUUCUGGAGCCACUUACCCCCCUGGAGGAGCCCAGCACAGGUCCCUUUCGAACACGGGUACUUCAGACCAGCGGGUGCAGCCCAGCAGCAGCCGGUAGAUGUAGGUUCUUGACAGCGCCGAAAAGCGUGCGUGGAAGUCACUGGUCACUCGGUAGGCACUCAAAAUGCUGGUGGAAAAGAGAAUGGGAUGGACAGAAACGUCAUGCACCGAUGCACAAACUUGUGCUGGUCUCCACGUGUAUGGAAUUAAGACAUGCAAUGGAUGC